rnacentral:rRNA from 1 species
UACGUAGGGGGCAAGCGUUGUCCGGAUUUAUUGGGCGUAAAGCGCGUGUAGGCGGCCACACAGGUCCGCUGUGAAAACUCGAGGCUCAACCUCGAGCUGUCGGUGGAAACCGUGUGGCUAGAGUCCGGAAGAGGAGAGUGGAAUUCCCGGUGUAGCGGUGAAAUGCGCAGAUAUCGGGAAGAACACCCGUGGCGAAGGCGGCUCUCUGGGACGGUACUGACGCUGAGACGCGAAAGCGUGGGGAGCGAGCAGG